rnacentral:misc_RNA from 1 species
GAUGAAGAACGUAGCGAAAUGCGAUAAGUAGUGUGAAUUGCAGAAUUCAGUGAAUCAUCGAAUCUUUGAACGCACAUUGCGCCCUAUAGUAUUCUGUAGGGCAUGCAUGUUCGAGCGUCAUUUGUACCUUCAAGCUUUGCUUGGUGUUGGGUGUUUGUCCUCUCCCUGGUGUUUGGACUCGCCUUAAAACAAUUGGCAGCCAGUGUUUUGGUAUUGAAGCGCAGCACAAUUUGCGAUUCUGGCCUUAAAAUACUAGCGUCCAUAAGUACAUUCUCACUUUUGACCUCGGAUCAUGUAGGGAUACCCGCUGAACUUAAGCAUAUCAAUAAGCGGAGGA